GAAAUGCGAUAAGUAAUGUGAAUUGCAGAAUUCAGUGAAUCAUCGAAUCUUUGAACGCACCGUGCGCUCAUUGGUAUUCCUUGGAGCAUGCCUGUUUGAGUAUCAUGAAAUCUUCAAAGUAAAUCUUUUGUUAACUCAAUUGGUUUCUACUUUGGUAUUGGAGGUCUUUGCAGCUUCACACCUGCUCCUCUUUGUUCAUUAGCUGGAUCUCAGUGUUAUGCUUGGUUCCACUCGGCGUGAUAAGUUAUCUAUCGCUGAGGACACUGUAAAAGGUGGCCAAGGUAAAUGCAGAUGAACUGCUUCUAAUAGUCCAUUGACUUGGACAAUACUUUUAUGAUCUGAUCUCAAAUCAGGUAGGACUACCCGCUGAACUUAAGC
rnacentral:misc_RNA from 1 species